ensembl:lncRNA
CCGUGGGCCGUACUUUGCCGCCCUCGACAGGUAACCAGUCCAUCCAACAGCAUCACCUAUAUGUUCUCUCCCAGACUGAUAGAGAGGAUGUCUGGAGUUUAUCAGAAGGUAACCAGUCCAUCCAACAGCAUCACCUAUAUGUUCUCUCCCAGACUGAUAGAGAGGAUGUCUGGAGUUUAUCAGAAGGUAACCAGUCCAUCCAACAGCAUCUCCUAUAUGUUCUCUCCCAGACUGAUAGAGAGGAUAUCUGGAGUGUAUCAGAAGGUAACCAGUCCAUCCAACAGCAUCUCCUAUAUGUUCUCUCCCAGACUGAUAGAGAGGAUGUCUGGAGUAUAUCAUAAGGUAACCAGUCCAUCCAACAGCAUCUCCUAUAUGUUCUCUCCCAGACUCAUGGAUAGACAGUUUGGAGUGUAUCAGAAGGUAACCAGUCCAUCCAACAGCAUCUCCUAUAUGUUCUCUCCCAGACUGAUACACUCCAGACAUCCUGUAUAUCAGAAGGUAACCAGUCCAUCCAACAGAGAGAGAGAGAGAGAGAGAGAGAGAGAGAGAGAGAGAGAGAGAGAGAGAGAGAGAGAGAGAGAGAGAGAGA